rnacentral:lncRNA from 1 species
UCUGGAUUUAAUACUUUGGAUACCACUGGUUUUAGCAAUGAGAAAAUUUUGCACCAUACAUAUAGAACACAACUACCAUAUGAAUGUGUCGGUCCUUAGUAAGAAGCCUGUAAAACAGGGCUUGUAAUUUUUUGGUGUAUAUCUUGAUUUUCCGUUUGUACAUUGAUGUGGCCAUUAGUUUUCUUGUAUAUAUUGUUUAACAUUUGUCAUUUCAUGGCUAUUUCUAACUGAUUUAUGUAUAGUUUUUUUCUGAUUGUAAAAAUGUUGUAUGGUAAGCUUUAUUUCUU